CUGGGAUGCCCUUAGAUGUUUUGGGCCGCACGCGCGCUACACUGACGGAGCCAAGGAGUCUUUUCCUUGUCCGGAAGGACUGGGUAAUCUUGUGAAACUCCGUCGUGCUGGGGAUAGAGCAUUGCAAUUAUUGCUCUUCAACGAGGAAUUCCUAGUAAGCGUGAGUCAUCAGCUCGCGUGAUACGUCCUGCCCU
rnacentral:rRNA from 1 species